rnacentral:rRNA from 1 species
GCCCAGACUCCUACGGGAGGCAGCAGUGGGGGAUAUUGCACAAUGGGGGAAACCCUGAUGCAGCGACGCCGCGUGUGGGAAGACGGUCUUCUGGAUUGUAAACCACUGUCCCCAGGGACGAAAAUGACGGUACCUGGGGAGGAAGCUCCGGCUAACUACGUGCCAGCAGCCGCGGUAAUACGUAGGGAGCAAGCGUUGUCCGGAAUUACUGGGUGUAAAGGGAGCGUAGGCGGGGAUGCAAGUUGGGUGUCAAAACUAUCGGCUCAACCGAUAGUCGCACUCAAAACUGCAGCUCGUGAGUGAAGUAGAGGCAGGCGGAAUUCCUAGUGUAGCGGUGAAAUGCGUAGAUAUUAGGAGGAACACCAGUGGCGAAGGCGGCCUGCUGGGCUUUUACUGACGCUGAGGCUCGAAAGUGUGGGGAGCAAACAGGAUUAGAUACCCCAGUA